AUGAGCUUUCGUGUACAUACACACUUCUUCAGAUAUAUUCAGAUAUCUAUCUGAAGAAGUGUGUAUGCACACAAAAGCUCAU